rnacentral:tRNA from 1 species
GCGUCCAUAGUCUAGUGGUAUGACGUGAGCCUUCCAAGCUCAAUGUCCGGGUUCGAUUCCCGGUGGGCGCA